rnacentral:rRNA from 1 species
GACGAACCGUGCGAACGUUAUUCGGAAUCACUGGGCUUAAAGCGCGUGUAGGCGGGUCGGCGCGUCGGCCGCUGAAAUCCCCCGGCUCAACCGGGGAAGCGGCGCCGAUACGGCCGGCCUGGAGGGACGUAGGGGGGGCUGGAACUUCCGGUGAGCGGUGAAAUGCGCAGAUAUCAGGAGGAACACCAGUGGCGAAGGCGGCUCACUGGACC